UCGAUUUGGAGUUUGUUGCCCUGAGUGAUGGGCUCCGAAGCUAACGCGAUAAAUCGACCGCCUGGGGAGUACGGUCGCAAGGUUAAAACUCAAAUGAAUUGACGGGGGCCCGCACAAGCGGUGGAGCAUGUGGUUUAAUUCGAUGCAACGCGAAGAACCUUACCUGGUCUUGACAUCCACAGAAUCUUGCAGAGAUGCGAGGGUGCCUUCGGGAACUGUGAGACAGGUGCUGCAUGGCUGUCGUCAGCUCGUGUUGUGAAAUGUUGGGUUAAGUCCCGCAACGAGCGCAACCCUUAUCCUUUGUUGCCAUUGGUUCGGCCGGGAACUCAAAGGAGACUGCCGUUGAUAAAGCGGAGGAAGGUGGGGACGACGUCAAGUCAUCAUGGCCCUUACGACCAGGGCUACACACGUGCUACAAUGGCGUAUACAAAGGGAGGCGACCUCGCGAGAGCAAGCGGACCUCAUAAAGUACGUCUAAGUCCGGAUUGGAGUCUGCAACUCGACUCCAUGAAGUCGGAAUCGCUAGUAAUCGUGAAUCAGAAUGUCACGGUGAAUACGUUCCCGGGCCU
rnacentral:rRNA from 1 species